AAGUCGUAACAAGGUUUCCGUAGGUGAACCUGCGGAAGGAUCAUUAAAGAUUCGACCUUUGGGUCUAUCUCUCUUCAGCUGUGCGCUUCAGCUGCACGCUGUUGAACUUUCCACACCCUGUGCACCAUUCGGUUGUGGCUUCGGCUGCUUCCGCAUUUACACAUACAACCACAGUCCAGAAUGUUAAACACUAUAACAAAUAACAACUUUCAACAACGGAUCUCUUGGCUCUC
rnacentral:misc_RNA from 1 species